rnacentral:rRNA from 1 species
UACGGGGGGGGCAAGCGUUGUUCGGAAUUACUGGGCGUAAAGGGCGCGUAGGCGGCCUUCUAAGUCGAACGUGAAAUCCCCGGGCUCAACCCGGGAACUGCGUCCGAUACUGGAAGGCUUGAAUCCGGGAGAGGGAUGCGGAAUUCCAGGUGUAGCGGUGAAAUGCGUAGAUAUCUGGAGGAAUACCGGUGGCGAAGGCGGCAUCCUGGACCGACAUUGACGCUGAGGAGCGAAAGCUAGGGGAGCAAACGGG